rnacentral:rRNA from 1 species
CUACGGGAUGCACCAGUGGGGAAUCUUGCACAAUGGAGGAAACUCUGAUGCAGCGAUGCCGCGUGAGUGAAGAAGGCCCUUGGGUUGUAAAGCUCUUUUGUCGGGAAAGAUAAUGACUGUACCCGAAGAAUAAGGUCCGGCUAACUUCGUGCCAGCAGCCGCGGUAAUACGAAGGGACCCAGCGUAAUUCGGAAUUACUGGGCGUAAAGCGCGCGUAGGCGGUUAAGUAAGUUAAUUGUGAAAGCCCAAAGCUCAACUUUGGAAUUGCAAUUAAAACUACUUAGCUAGAGUUUAUCAGAGGAAAGCGGAAUACAUAGUGUAGAGGUGAAAUUCGUAGAUAUUAUGUAGAACACCAGUUGCGAAGGCGGCUUUCUGAGAUAACACUGCCGCUGAGGUGCGAAAGUAUGGGUAGCGAAGAGGAUUAGAUACCCUUGUAGUC